AACGCCCGCGACAUCGCCAAGGCGAGCGAGGGAGCACACUGGGACGUGUUUCGAGUCAGCACGCCCGGUGGCGCCGCCGUGCUCAAGGUCCUGCACGUCGAGUACAUCGCCCGCUACGCGAAGGAGCUCUGCAACCACUUGCUGGUCGCCAGAGCCCUGGAACGUCUAAGCGACGGAAGAGGUUCGAACUUUACCACGGGAUUCGUCCUCGUCACGAGGGCUGUUUGCGUGUGGGACGGCUACCCGCAGGAAUUGAGCGACGCAUGCCGCCGGUUCGCCGCAGCACGCCGCGACACCGCAUCGAGAAACGUCGACCACAUCAUCGACUAUCGUCAGGUGCCUCAGCCUUACCUCGUGCUGCAGACGGGCUACGCCGGAAUUCCCCUCUCAUCGGUGGAGACGCUGAGUGCUUCGCAAGUGGUCAGCGUCUUCCGGCAAGUCAUACUCACCCUGGCCGUGGCCGAGGCAGCAUUCAACUUCGAGCACCGACACCUCAGCCUCGAGAGCAUUUACGUCACGAGGACGCAGAGGGAAAGCAUCGAAUGGAAGGUCGAGGGGAGGCUGUACCGCGUCCAAACCCGCGGAGUCAUCGCACACGUCGCCGACUUCAGCGCCGCUCGCAUGG